UACGUAGGGGGCAAGCGCUGUCCGGAAUCAUUGGGCGUAAAGCGCGUGUAGGCGGCUUGGUAAGUCCGCUCUGAAAGCCCGGGGCUCAACCCCGGGAGGCGGGUGGAUACUGUCAAGCUCGAGUCCGGAAGAGGCGAGUGGAAUUCCUGGUGUAGCGGUGAAAUGCGUUGAUAUCCUAAGGAACACCAGUGGCGAAAGCGACUCACUGGGUCUCCACUGACGCUGAGGCACGAAAGCUAGGGGAGCGAAUGGG
rnacentral:rRNA from 1 species